rnacentral:rRNA from 1 species
UGGGGAAUAUUGCACAAUGGGGGAAACCCUGAUGCAGCGACGCCGCGUGAGCGAAGAAGUAUUUCGGUAUGUAAAGCUCUAUCAGCAGGGAAGAUGAUGACGGUACCUGACUAAGAAGCCCCGGCUAACUACGUGCCAGCAGCCGCGGUAAUACGUAGGGGGCAAGCGUUAUCCGGAUUUACUGGGUGUAAAGGGAGCGUAGACGGCGAAGCAAGUCUGGUGUGAAAACCCGGGGCUCAACCCCGGGCCUGCAUUGGAAACUGUUUUGCUGGAGUGCCGGAGAGGUAAGCGGAAUUCCUAGUGUAGCGGUGAAAUGCGUAGAUAUUAGGAGGAACACCAGUGGCGAAGGCGGCUUACUGGACGGUAACUGACGUUGAGGCUCGAAAGCGUGGGGAGCAAACA